rfam:Triticum aestivum genome assembly, contig: Triticum_aestivum_CS42_TGACv1_scaffold_423228_5BS
UUUGUACUCCCUCCGUCCGGAAAUACUUGUCAUUGGAAUGGAUGUAUCUAGAUGUAUUUUAGUUCUAGAUACAUCCAUUUCAUCUAUUUUGAUGACAAGUAUUUCUGGACGGAGGGAGUAUAUG